rnacentral:rRNA from 1 species
AUUGAACGCUGGCGGCAGGCCUAACACAUGCAAGUCGAACGAGUGGCGGACGGGUGAGUAAUGUCUGGGACACUGCCUGAUGGAGGGGGAUAACUGCUGGAAACGGUAGCUACUACUGCAUACAGUCAGCUGUGCCCCGAGGGGAUUAGCUAGUUGGUGGGGUAACGGCUCACCAAGGGGACGAUCCCUAGCUGGUCUGAGAGGAUGACCAGCCACACUGGAACUGAGACACGGACCAGACUCCUACGGGAGGCAGCAGUGGGGAAUAUUGGACAAUGGGCGAAAGCCUGAUGCAGCCAUGCCGCGUGUAUGAAGAAGGCCUUCGGGUUGGAAAGUACUGUCAGCGGGGAGGCGUUACCCGCAGAAGAAGCACCGGCUAACUCCGUGCCAGCAGCCGCGGUAGUUC